AUUAAAAGUUUAUUUAAAUUUUUGAGUUUAAUUUAGAUAUUAAAUAAAAAUGUAGAAAAUUUUUAUAGUUUAAGUAAUAAUAAAUAAAAAAAAAUUUAUAUUAAAUUUUAUAAUUGUAAGAGAAAAUUUAAAAUAUUAAAAAGAAUAUAUAAUUUAUAGUACCUUUUGUAUCAGGGGUUAUUAAAAUAAGAAUUAAAGAUUUAUUUAUCUCGAAUUAAAAAGAGUUAAUUUUAUAUAAUAGUUAAUGUGAAAUAAUUAUUAUAAAUAUAAAGUUGGAAGUGAAAUGUUAUGCGAUUUUUAAGAUAUCUAGUUUUUUAAUAUAAAAAUUUAAUUUUUUUAUAAAUAAUAAUUAUUGAUUUGUUAAAAUUGGUAAUUAGUUUAUAAAUAAUAAUUUAUGGGAUAAACUAUGAAUUUAGAUUAAAUAAUUUAGUAAAUUUAAUUUAAAAUUUAGACAUUAAAAUUUUUAUAAUUAGUAAGUUUAUAAUAAUUUAUUAAUAUAUGAUAUUAGAUUUAAAAAAAUUAUUAAUUUAAUAUUAAAAUAAGUUUAAAAAUUUUAAAAGAUUUGUAAUAAUGAUAAUAUUAGUAUAAUUUAUUUUAAAAAUAAAAGUUUAUUAAUAAAUUAAAUAAAGGAAUUAGGCAAAAAUUAAGUUCACUUGUUUAUCAAAAACAUGUUUUUUUGAAAAUAAUUUAAAAUUUACUCUGCCCAAUGAAAAAUUAAAUGGCCGCAGUAAUUUGACUGUGCAAAGGUAGCAUAAUAAAUAGUUUUUUAAUUGAAGACUAGAAUGAAGGAGGGGAUGAAAUUUAAACUGUCUCUAAUUAAAUAUUAAAAUUUUAUUUUGAGUAAAAAUUCUUAAAUGAUUUUAAGGGACGAGAAGACCCUAUAGAAUUUUAAAAUUUAGGUUAUUAAUUAAUAUAAAAUUAAAAAAUUAAUGAUUGAAGAUUUUUUUAUUGGGAUGAUAUUAAAAUUUAAAAAACUUUUAUAUUUAAAAACCAAAAAUUUAUGAUUUAAAUUAAGUUUGAAUAAUUAUAGAAAAAAUUACCUUAGGGAUAACAGCGUAAUAAAUUUUUAAAGUUCAAAUUAAAAAAUUUGAUUGCGACCUCGAUGUUGAAUUAAAAUAAAAUUUAAGUGUAGAAGCUUAAAAUUUAAGUCUGUUCGACUUUUAAAAUUUUACAUGAUUUG
rnacentral:rRNA from 1 species